UUCUCUGGACAGCAGCAACUGUAUUCCAGAGGGCUCAAGCCCAUUUCCAUGGAAACGCGAUCACAACUUCCAAACAGUCUGCCUCCACUCACAGCGGCUUCUUACUCCGCUUUCACAAUGAAUUCAGAAAAUUCCUUCGUCCUCACGAGUAACGAUCUGGAACCAACAAAAUAUGGAGUCAAAACAGGAUACCAUACAAGCAAUGGCCACAUCUCACAGAUCCCUGGACUGUCCCCAACUACCAACACUCUUCCUGAGGAGAGGAUCCGAGGGCGAAGAGUUGGAGUCCUAGAGAGUGACUCUGAUUAUGUAAAACUUGCAAAACAAGGAGGGCAUAAGGGACUUCUGUGCCACGAGGAAUCAGUUAUUUCUAAACCCAGUUCAUACAAACCUCCACAUUGGUUUGGCUUUGAAUCAGGAGACUUAAGCGAGCCAAGUGAAGAGAAGAAAAUCCCCGGAGCUUUUGAACCACAAGAACCUCCUUUUGGGAGCGACAACAUGUCAGCCUGGGAAAGAGACAACAGCAGCAACAAUGAGAAAGAGGAGGACAACAUUUCUGUCCACCAAAGUGAGACAGAGAAGUUGCAGACAUCCAGUCAAUAUCAUGAGGCCAGCAAAUUCAGGAGGAUGUAAAGUAAUUGACAAGAAACCAGCCCCUGUUGACAUGUCAAAGCUGCUCAGCUUUGGUUAUGCAGAAGACAGCAAACCAGUAUAGUGACGUGUCAAAUUGGAAGACUGCCGGGUGCCUGGAUGGGAAAAGGGCGUACAAGAUUCAUGCUGAGACACAUCAAGCAUUUUACUUUGUUUUAGAAAAAUUUGUAUUGUUAAAUCUUUUACUCAAGCAUUAAAGUGCCUCACUGAAUUACAGCUGGACGUUUUAUUUAUUGUGAUUUUUAGUGGUGCACUUGAAGGCAUCAGUUAACUCCUGUGUUAAGUUUUUUUUCUGUGUCUACAAGGCUGUAAAUGUCAGCUUCUGGGAAAAGUUUGAUAAUUCAAAUAAAAUGAAACCAAUCCAAAAUGAAACAUUUAUAUAUAUGUAUAUGUCACAGGCUAAAUUUUCCACACUAAACAUGAUUCCUGUUCGUGGUACAUUAUGUUGGCUCUGUGCGUUUCUGUUUUCAUAUGACAGUGCUAGUGUCAGAGGUUAUCUCGGUGUUCUUUUGCUAAAUUAUGUCAGUA